rnacentral:misc_RNA from 1 species
AGAAAAAGAAUUUGGCAGAAAACUACAAUGAUGGUCAGAGGAAGGGCUAAUGGUUCGUUGAAACUGUUGAUUAUAGCUUCAUCAAAUUUCGUCAACCAAGCAAGAUUGUGUGACAUUGUUUUCUUUCAAUUUUUUUCCUGGUUGGAUUUGUACCUCUUCCGUACUUCUAACACACACAUGGCCUAACUUUUUAGGCACACAUGGCAAAACAGCCACUUGAUUUUACCCCAUGGGGACCCCCAUAAAGUUGUAGACUGAUUUUCAAAUUUAAUUAAGCUAAUUGUUUAAUUCAUGGGUUUGGACCAUAUUGUAUAAUCAUGCAUGGUUGCUGAUGAAAUGCAAGCUUAAAGAUUG